rnacentral:lncRNA from 1 species
GGGUUGCAUUUUACUACCUAAUUAAGAGUUAGGAGGAAAAAAAAAUGGAAGGGAGCGCAUUUGUAGCUUGUGCGUGGGUUGAAAUUUCCUGAGAUGGGAAACAAACUCAUAAACAGGAGAGACAAUAACAGUAUUUGAAUUGAAAUGUCUAUGGCUAUCUGAAGCUGGAGCAGUGCCAUUUUGCUCUUUUUGGUUUGAGAAGGAGGAAAGCAUGAACAUAUUUGACCAUAUUGCCCUUGCUUAAAGCUGGUCCUGCAAAGAAAAUUAUACGCAGACCUCUCUAGUUUGUGUGAUCCAGUCUCUCUGCUCACCUUUUUACUGCUGCUCAGACUGGGCCCAUGGUGCCGGACUCCAUGCAGAGGAGGUUGCAAGGGGCUGAGCUGAAAACUCUGAGAAGACUGGCUGUGUUUUUGACUUGCUGGCAGUUUGCAGGGCUCGGCAGAGCACAGUGACAGGAGCUAGGGUUCAGAGUCAGGUUGUCUGUGUCUGACCUGGAAAGUUCCAGGCAACCUUGAGAAAGACACAGCCGCUUUUUGAGACUCGUCUUUCUCUGCAUCAAGCAAGAGGCUGCUGCUGUCCAGGGGCCUAUUGAGGUAGAUGACAGACAAGCUUUGUAGUGGAAGAGGCCUUGUCUGGAGUAGAACCUCUCCACUUGCCUGAGCUCCUCAUAGCUACUCCCUUCAUCUGAAAACCAUAGGUGUUACUACGUCCCAAGUUAUGCAGAUUCAAUGGUAUGGAUUUGGUUAGAAGGUCAUUAUUUAUUUUCUUUAAAAAAAACCCAACCUAAUUAUUAUUUUUCUAAUUAUUACUUUUUCUACUACAUUUUCCCUGGCUAUGCACAGGAGUCUGGUUCCAAGACCAGCCUUAGGUAUCUAUACAUACUCAAGUAGUUUUUAUAAAAUGGUGUACUAUUUGCAUAUAACCCAUAUAGCUCUCUGCAUACUUUACUGAUGUCCAGUCCAGUGUGAACACUGUAGACCAUUGCUGUGUUGUCUUGUUUAGGGGAUGGUGGCAAGGACAGCAACAUCUGCCUGUGUUCACUGUGGGUGCAGCCAGCCUUUUCCUGAGCAUUCUCCAUCUGUAUUUGGCUGAUAUGAGGAAUAGAGGGCACAUGGUCUAGCUACAUAAUCUGUUUUCUAAUUCUGAAAUACCAGAUAUAUACAGAGAUGCCCAUGACACCCACACAUAACUUAAUGACAAAUAGAAUAAAAGAAAACAACCGCUUUUUUCUCAAGCCAAGGAACAGGAUACAGUGAGUCUCAAAAGUCACGGUGGAGCCUUUUCUUGAUCACAGUUUCUCCCACCCAGGUAACAUUUAGACUGCAUUUUUUAAAAUAAAUAAACCCUUUGGUGAUUUUUACUAUAUAUCUCAGCAACUUAUACCAUUUUACUUCCUUGAUCUUAAACUUUAUACCAAUGGAAUUAUAUUGUAAAAUAAUCUUGGGACUUCAACCCUCAUAUUUUCAAGAUUUACUUAAUGGGUAUAUAUGUAAGUCAUUGCUUUCUACUGAUGCAUAGUAUUCUAUUGUAGAGGCAGUCUUUAUAUCCUGAUCUAGUCAUGGGACAUGGAGCUAUUUUGUAGUAAUGUUUUACUGUCAUGAUAAUGUUCUUGUAUCCUUCGAUCUCUUGAGUUCGAAAGUCUUUUUGGUUAUGUAGUCUGAUAUCUUGCUUCUGACUGGUCAUUUCACUUGUAGAUAGCUGUGCUGGAGAUUGGAGAGUGGUUCCCAAGCUUCUAGAAGUAGCAGAGGGCACUGUAGGCCAUGUACCCAGGUUUUGUACUCCCGUGGCUCAUCUCUAACUAUUCCAAGUCUGACAGGUUGCCCUUUAGUUUCCAUUUCCCAUGCUAAUCUUUUUCUACUCCUCAAAUGUCUCCUUGGGAUAGUUAUCUAAACCUCCACUAGACUUGUGCUUUGCAUGUGCAACCAACACUAGUUCUUUUCUCCCAUCACGCAGUUGUACCGCAUCCCAUUAUGGUAGCACAUCCUGGAGGAUAGGCCCAUUCAUAAGCUUCAUCCUUCCCUCUGGCAGCUUGUGCCUCUGAGAUGUGUUCCAACCAGGGAAGAAGUCAAAAUAGACCUCACGUGAUCAAGAGGGAAAACUGCUGAGGAAACAGGAUCUGAGUCCUUACGAGGCACUUUUGUAGGAAAUGUCCCUUUCCUAUAAAUAGGGAUGGAUGUUCAAUUUUUGGCUUCUCCAAAAAAAAAACAAAAAAC